GUCAGGAUGGCCGAGDGGDCUAAGGCGCCAGACUNAAGUUCUGGUCCUCUAAGGAGGGCGUGGGUUCAAAUCCCACUUCUGACACCA
rnacentral:tRNA from 1 species